GAUGAACGCUGGCGGCGUGCUUAAUACAUGCAAGUCGAACGGAAAUUGUAGCAAUACAAUUUUAGUGGCGAACGGGUGAGUAACGCGUUGGUGACCUGCCCCGAAGAGAGGGAUAACAGUCCGAAAGGAUUGCUAAUACCCCAUAUGGUCACGAGGAUUAGAUGCCUUGUGAUUAAAGGAGAAAUUCACUUUGGGAGGGGCCUGCGUCCCAUCAGCUAGUUGGUAGGGUAAAAGCCUACCAAGGCGAUGACGGGUAGGGGACCUGAGAGGGUGGCCCCCCACAAUGGAACUGAAACACGGUCCAUACACCUACGGGAGGCUG
rnacentral:rRNA from 1 species